rnacentral:lncRNA from 1 species
ACAAACAAACAAACAAACAAAUAAACAAACAAACAAAUAAACAAACAAACAAACAAACAAACAAACAAACAAACAAACAAACAAACAAACAAACAAACAAACAAACAAACAAACAAACAAACAAACAAACAAANCAAACAAACAAACAAACAAACAAACAAACAAACAAACAAACAAACAAACAAACAAACAAACAAACAAACAAACAAACAAACAAACAAACAAACAAGCAAGCAAGCAAACAAACAAACCA